rnacentral:tRNA from 2 species
GGGCCUUUAGCUUAGUCAGGUAGAGCGACGGACUCUUAAUCCGUCGGCCGCGGGUUCGAACCCCGUAAGGCCCGCCA